CAAUCUGUUCUUUUUGGUAAGAGUGGGUUGAUCUAGUGGUAAACACCCUCCACUUCUAAUCAAGAGGUUGCGAGUUCGAAUCACUUCAAGAGCAAGGUGAGAAGUUCUUGGAGGGAGGGAGCCGAGGGCCUAUCGGAAACAGCCUCUCUAUUUAAGGGUAGGGGUAAGGUUUGCGUACACACUACCCUCCCCAUACCCCAAUAGUGAGAUUAUACUGAGUUGUUGUUGUAUCCUCCAAUGUGUUCUUCAUUGCCUCUUAUUAUGAAUAACAUGUAAUGUAAUGUAAUAUCAGAUGGAUUUGACAAUGAUAUUAAUCUCCAUGUACCUAAAAGACAGAAAUAAUAGAAUUGAUGCUAAUUGCUUGUGGUCAGAUUAAAAGAUAGUGAUUAAUUACUUUUAAUUAACUCACGGACUGAUAAAUAUCCUGUUUACCUUCCCCUCCCGAAAUCGACAAGGAAGUGAUGAAUUACGUUUUACGUUUUAAUAAAAAAAGAUUUAACCUCUUUUUUUUUCUUUUUUUUUCAUUUUCAACAAGCAAACAAAAGAGUCGGCAACCAAUAAAUGAAGCUUGAUCUAAAUUCUAGCAAAAUUUCUUGUAUGAGCAAAAUGUAAAAUUGGCAAGGAUUAAUUACUAGCUUUAACAAUCAUUCAAUAAAUUAAUACUAUAAGCACACAACUCCUACAAAAAGACAUUAAAAAGGACUUUAAUUAUAAUAACAAUAUUUCAAAACUUUCAAGUUAUUAAUCAUCAAAGGAUUCAUGAUAAUUGAUAUAAAUCGAAAUAUUCACAAAACAUGAAAUUAAAAUGAUAUUCCAUAUUCAAACAUAUGAUCAUACUUUUCCCAGUUGCUGUUUCUUUCUGGAUCAAAUACAUACCAGAUUACCAAACACUACAAUUUUGUAAUGUUGAGUAUUAUUUCCCUAAGAAAAGUCUCUAUUUUUCUUUCCUUUAGUCAAUAUUGGCCUUCUGCAACAAGAACUGCUGGAAUUGGAAAUUCCAUAAUUGCCAUCAUUAUACAUCAAAGGCAAGUCGUUUGCAUCUUCACCUUCAUCCUCAUGAGUGGCAAUACGAAUGCAAGAACACCGUUCCAACGACGCGAAAAACGCGGCCGCAACGCCGUUGAUGAACCACAUGGCCAUCCCGUCAAGUUUUCUGCAGCCGGGAGUGGAGGACGACCGGACCCUUGGCUCGUCGGAACUUGCUCGGAAACUAAAUAAGCCGCCGCAGCUAGUGGUGGUAGCUGCCAUGAUUUGGAUGAGAGAGAGUGGGGAUAAGUCACAGAAAAUAGGAAGAGUGGGUGACAAAGGUAGCUUUUAUAAUUUGGAUUGUAUGUGAAGAGUUUUAUUUUUAAAUAAAAGAACCUUUAGUUGCUACAUGUUCAUCAAUAAUCAUUGCGAUUUUUAACAUUUACGCAUGCCCUUCUUCAUCUUUUUCACUAUUUUUUUUGUGAUAAACACUAAGAACGGAAUUGUCACACUAUAGAGGUAAAAAAAGCUACCUUUACA
rnacentral:lncRNA from 1 species